rnacentral:rRNA from 1 species
CACCGAAGCUGCGGCAGCGACACUAUGUGUUGUUGGGUAGGGGAGCGUUCUGUAAGCCUGCGAAGGUGUGCUGUGAGGCAUGCUGGAGGUAUCAGAAGUGCGAAUGCUGACAUAAGUAACGAUAAAGCGGGUGAAAAGCCCGCUCGCCGGAAGACCAAGGGUUCCUGUCCAACGUUAAUCGGGGCAGGGUGAGUCGACCCCUAAGGCGAGGCCGAAAGGCGUAGUCGAUGGGAAACAGGUUAAUAUUCCUGUACUUGGUGUUACUGCGAAGGGGGGACGGAGAAGGCUAUGUUAGCCGGGCGACGGUUGUCCCGGUUUAAGCAUGUAGGCUGGUUAUCCAGGCAAAUCCGGAUAAUCAAGGCUGAGGUGUGAUGACGAGGCACUACGGUGCUGAAGUAACAAAUGCCCUGCUUCCAGGAAAAGCCUCUAAGCAUCAGGUAACAUCAAAUCGUACCCCAAACCGACACAGGUGGUCAGGUAGAGAAUACCAAGGCGCUUGAGAGAACUCGGGUGAAGGAACUAGGCAAAAUGGUGCCGUAACUUCGGGAGAAGGCACGCUGGUGUGUAGGUGAAGUCCCUGCGGAUGGAGCUGAGACCAGUCGAAGAUACCAGCUGGCUGCAACUGUUUAUUAAAAACACAGCACUGUGCAAACACGAAAGUGGACGUAUACGGUGUGACGCCUGCCCGGUGCCGGAAGGUUAAUUGAUGGGGUUAUCCGUAAGGAGAAGCUCUUGAUCGAAGCCCCGGUAAACGGCGGCCGUAACUAUAACGGUCCUAAGGUAGCGAAAUUCCUUGUCGGGUAAGUUCCGACCUGCACGAAUGGCGUAAUGAUGGCCAGGCUGUCUCCACCCGAGACUCAGUGAAAUUGAACUCGCUGUGAAGAUGCAGUGUACCCGCGGCAAGACGGAAAGACCCCGUGAACCUUUACUAUAGCUUGACACUGAACAUUGAGCCUUGAUGUGUAGGAUAGGUGGGAGGCUUUGAAGCGUGGACGCCAGUCUGCGUGGAGCCAACCUUGAAAUACCACCCUUUAAUGUUUGAUGUUCUAACGUUGGCCCCUGACCGGGGUUGCGGACAGUGUCUGGUGGGUAGUUUGACUGGGGCGGUCUCCUCCCAAAGCGUAACGGAGGAGCACGAAGGUUAGCUAAUCCUGGUCGGACAUCAGGAGGUUAGUGCAAUGGCAUAAGCUAGCUUGACUGCGAGCGUGACGGCGCGAGCAGGUGCGAAAGCAGGUCAUAGUGAUCCGGUGGUUCUGAAUGGAAGGGCCAUCGCUCAACGGAUAAAAGGUACUCCGGGGAUAACAGGCUGAUACCGCCCAAGAGUUCAUAUCGACGGCGGUGUUUGGCACCUCGAUGUCGGCUCAUCACAUCCUGGGGCUGAAGUAGGUCCCAAGGGUAUGGCUGUUCGCCAUUUAAAGUGGUACGCGAGCUGGGUUUAGAACGUCGUGAGACAGUUCGGUCCCUAUCUGCCGUGGGCGCUGGAGAAUUGAGGGGGGCUGCUCCUAGUACGAGAGGACCGGAGUGGACGCAUCACUGGUGUUCGGGUUGUCAUGCCAAUGGCACUGCCCGGUAGCUAAAUGCGGAAGAGAUAAGUGCUGAAAGCAUCUAAGCACGAAACUUGCCCCGAGAUGAGUUCUCCCUGAGACUAUAAGUCUCCUGAAGGAACGUUAAAGACGAUGACGUUGAUAGGCCGGGUGUGUAAGCGCAGCGAUGCGUUGAGCUAACCGGUACUAAUGAACCGUGAGGCUUAACCUU